rnacentral:tRNA from 1 species
GCCUGGGUGGCUCAGUCGGUUGAGCGCCUGACUUUGGCUCAAGUCAGGAUCUCUUGGUUUGUGGGUUCGAGCCCCGCAUCGGGAU